rnacentral:rRNA from 1 species
UACGUAGGGUGCAAGCGUUAAUCGGAAUUACUGGGCGUAAAGCGUGCGCAGGCGGCUAUGCAAGACAGAUGUGAAAUCCCCGGGCUCAACCUGGAACUGCAUUUGUGACUGCAUGGCUAGAGUACGGCAGAGGGGAUGGAAUUCCGCGUGUAGCAGUGAAAUGCGUAGAUAUGCGGAGGAACACCGAUGGCGAAGGCAAUCCCUGGGCCUGUACUGACGCUCAUGCACGAAGCGUGGGAGCAAACAG